GGUACUGUGGCGGAAUGGAUAGACGCGGCGCCGAGGUAUGGGCGGUGUGGUGUUAAUGAUUAGCAUUAUAUAAAUCCUUGCAGGUUCGAGCCCUGCCGGUACCA
rnacentral:tRNA from 1 species